GACGAACGCUGGCGGCGUGCUUAACACAUGCAAGUCGAACGAAGUGGCGAACGGGUGAGUAACGCGUAAUCAACCUGCCCUUCAGAGGGGGACAACAGUGGGAAACGACUGCUAAUACCGCAUACUGAAGGAGGAGAUUGCGUCGGAUUAGCUAGUUGGAGAGGUAACGGCCCACCAAGGGGAAGAUCAGUAGCCGGUCCGGAAGGAUUAACGGGCCCAAUGGGACCGAGACACGGGCCAGAAUCCUAAGGGAGGCAGCAGUUGGGGAUCUUUCGCCAUGGACGACAGUCUGACGGAGCAACGCCGCGUGAGUGAUGAAGGCCUUCGGGUUGUAAAGCUCUUAUAAUCGGGGCGCGGUACCGGAAUAGAAAGCACCGGCUAACUACGUGCCAGCAGCCGCGGUAAUUC
rnacentral:rRNA from 1 species